AGGAAGAAUUGCUGAAAUGAUUUCACAACGAAAAUUAUGAAGAUUUUAUUUGGCAUUUAUUAAAAAGUUGAUAACAAAAACAUAACUUUUCUGUGAAAUAUUAAUAUGAUUUGAUCAAAAUUAAAGUGAUCAAUUUUUUUGAAAUUAUUAAUUAUCUAGUUUUUUAAUAUUCAAUAAUUAAUAAUUUUUAUGCUAAAAUGAAUUUUUUAAAAAAUUCGCUAAAAUUGAUUUCAAAGUGAUCAAAUAAGACUUACCAGGGUAUUAUUAUAAUCAAAACUUUGAACGAUUGGAGUUACUACAUUUCUGUUUCCAGUAGUAGAGUUUACCGCAAUAUUGUGCGGUAUUUUAACUUGUUUUAACAAUUUUGAAGUUUUUAGAUCAAAGACGACAAUCUGCGAAGAGCAUACAGAUGUCUGACCGCUAAUACCAUUGUCUAAAACCCAUAAUCUAUCCCAUACGUCAAUCUAAAUAGAAUAUCAUAAUAAUAAUAUAUUAAUUGAAUAUAAUAAAACAAUAUUAUUUUUAUAACAUAUAUUAAAAAUUGCUGUUGAUUAAACUAAAUUUGGAAAAUAAGUACAAAAGUGAAAUUCUUGAAUGAGAAAAUGAUACAAAGAAACGUAUUAUCAAAAAAUAAAGAAUAAACAAAUUGUAUUGGAGAAAUGGAUCAACGCUCAAGAAAAUGAUGUUUAUUUUUCAUAUUAUGAUAUAUUCAUAUAACGUAUCUUUGAUGUUAUAGAAAUCUAUUGUAAUUCCAAUAUGAAAACAAUUCUUAAUUACCGCAACUCUGUAAACACUUGUAAUACCAGAACAGUUUUGAUUUUCCGCCCACGACCAAUUUGGAUAUGGUUCCAGAAGUGGUCCACCAUUGCCAAUUUUGUUAGAUAUCACGUUCAAAGACGAAGGCACACCAUUAUUUCUUAGUAUGGUGACAAAAGUUUUAUCUAGAACAAAAAAUAUAAAAUAUUAAGAGAUUGUUAUAUACAUAAUGAUUGAUUUUACUAAUCUGCAAAAUUAUAAUUCGAACAUAAAUUUAAAAUUCAACAUAUAAAAAAUUGAUAGCAUUAAAAUCUUCGAAAAGAUUGCAUUCUGUUGGUAUAAACAAUUAUUAUAUUAACAAAUAUAAUAUUGACAAAUAUAAUUAUAAAAAAUAAAAGGAAUUACUAAUAACAAUCAAAUUAAUUAAAAAUAAUUAAUUGUAAUAAUUUUAAUCUUGCUCUUCAAAAGACAAGAUGCAUCGAAUUUUUUUAUUAAUAUUAUUUUCAAUAAAUCUAUAAAAUAUAUAAUUUGAUCUGCAAUAAUCCAAUAUAAAUUAUUUUGAUGCACAAAAUGUAAAUACAUAUUAAUUCAUUCAAAAUAUAUAAGAUAUCAAUAUAUUAAUAUAUUAUUAUAUAUAUAAUAUGAAAUUCUUUUGAAGAAUAUUAGAGACUAAAACAAACGCAAAAUGUUCUUUAUUUAUAAAGUUGAUCAAUUUUGCAUUAAACGAAAUAAGACAAAGACAGAAUGAUAAGAAUAGAAUUCUUUAUUUGUGUCUCCUUUUUUAAUGCAAAUUUGAAUUUUUUAUAACUUGAGAAAUGAGCUAUUCAACUGAUAUUUUUGCAUAUUUGCUUUGAUUUGUAGAAUUGAUCCUACAAAGAUGUUCUAUGAUUAUUAACACCUUGUAUACUUUACCAUGCCAUCGAUCGACGUCUAUUGGAAAAUUAUUCUUAUAAUUGUAUUUGCCAGAUUGAAUUGCAGCUUGUCUUCUUUCGUUGCUACCGAAAUUAUAAUCGAAGUAUUUCCAUUGGUAUACAACUUUUAAGGCAUUUGCCUUGAAAUGUCUCGAAUAAUAAUGGGCUUUUGUAAUUGUUUGACAAACUAUACCAAAAUACAGUAUCAACCACCAGAUAUUGAAAGACAUAUUGUCUUUCUUAUUACAAAAUUCACGUGAAUUGCAAUAGAACAGAAAACACUUAUGCAAGUCGUUUGAGAUCUUUUUGCAAAAUAGUGUAGUAAUAAAUUCUAAAGAAAGGUAGUACAAUAUGCAUGAAGUGACAAAGUUGGGUGAUAAAUAUAAACUGCAACAAUGACCUUCUAUGUAUUGAGAGAAGAAGAAAAGGAAGAAUGGAUUUUAAUUCUAAAAUUUUUAUUGUAAUUAUUGAAAUCUAUCUUUUGAUCAUUGAAAUUAAAAUGGAUGAAAAAAAUAAUAAUCAAAAUAAUCAUUGUGGACAAUCUUAAAAAUUUAUUCUAAUCAACUCGGUAAACUCUGUUGUGGCCAAUUGUCAUUCCAACAAACAGUAUUAUGUUACUCAUGAAUCUAAAGAAGAAAGCACCAGUUUUUGAUUGUUUUAACCUUCGCUUGAGUUCAUAAGAUGUCCGAGGCUCUGUGAAACAAACAAAAGAACAUAAGUAUCUAAAUCAUUAACAUGCAAUAUGAAAAAACGUUAUUUAACCAUAUACUCUUGAUAUUGUACAUUACAAUCUAAAAUUGCUCUUCUAUAAACUGUUUUGUGUAUAUAUAAUUUAAAUUAUGAGAAGACAGCACUAUAAUAAAGAUUUUAUGUUUUAUGACUUAGUGUCAUACCAAAAAUUCCAUUUUGCAACGUGAAACUUUCUUUAUUGAUAGUAUAAUUGGUAUAUCUGGAAUCAUAUACGAAAGUGCUCAAAGUCAAUCGUUGGAAAGAAUUGUUGGCAUUUUUUAUAAAUAAUUAAUGCAUAAUCUUCAACGUCUAUUAUUAUAAAUAUAAUUUAUAAUAGAAUUUGUUAUAUUAUAUAUUAUAAUAAUUAAUAUCUUGAACUUCAUAUUUUAUAAUCGUUUUUUUUAAAUGUUUUAGAAAAAGAAAUGUUGGGCUGAUAAUUGUUCAUAUCUUAAUUAAAUAAUUAAUCAAAAUUAAAUAAUUUAUAUAUGACUUAAAUUAUUAUUUUGAGAAGAGAUAAAGAAAUGAUUAAAGUUAUAGAUAAAUAAAUAAAAAAUAGAAAUGGUUAAUUCGUUGGAUAACUCUCUUGUAAUAUAUUUCGUUUCUCUUGAAUCGCCGAUCUGGAUUAUUUUUGACCCACGUCUAAAUUUUGAAAUAUCAUUUAUAUUAAUAUUUACUGGAUAUACACAAGUGAUUGGAUAGGAGUUUUCUCUGUUCUGGCAUGGAUGAAAAAUGAAUUUAAUAUGUUAAAAAAUGAAGUAAUCCGUUAAAUAAUAGUAAUCAAUCAAAUCAGCUUUUUUGGAUCGCCAUUUUCUGAAUCUUACAUCACCAUUUUAAAAUAAGUUCCUGGAAAUCCAGAAAUGGCAUUACGAAUAACAAAUAAAAAAUUUAUUUCCAAUCGAAACUUUUUAUUUACAAUGAUUUAUUUUAUUUCCGAAAAAUUCAUUGUAAUUGAAAAAAAUUUUUUAUUACGUAAUAUAUAGCCAUAUAGUCAUAAAAGUACAAUUACAUAAUUCGUGGAAAUUCAUAUAAACUAUAAUAGUAUAAUUGUUGAGGAACGGAAUUUUAUGUGUUUUACUUGAAAAUCCAAUUUGACAAUUUUGUAAAAAAAUACAAUAUUAAAUAAAAUGUUUCUUGAACCAUU